CGUAUGAGGGGAAUCAGGUAGGGCUUGAUAAGAGUUCGAGGGAAUGUCCAACAUCCCAGCACCAGACAACAGGAGUUGUCUUGAGUGAUAAUGCAAGGGAGCAUGUUAAUACCCGCACGCAAGCUGAUUAUCAGAAGAAAAAAGAUGAGUGUACGGUCAAGGCCCAGUAUGAAGAACAAUCUGGUACACUUGUGACAUUUUGCAAUGUAGUCAAUUAUAUUGGACGUAAUCGGAGCUGUCUUGAAUGAUGCCAAACAAACCAGUGAAACCCGUGUGGUACAUUGCAAUCCUACCUUGUCACAAGAAAAGAGGGAGCAGAUAAACGCCCAGAGACAAGCUGCUUAUCAGAUGAAAAAUGAUCUGUUUAUCCAAGAUGAAAAUCUGCGUGCCCUAACAA